rnacentral:misc_RNA from 1 species
GGAAGGAUCAUUAUUGAAUAAACCUGAUGGGUUGUUGCUGGCUCUCUAGGGAGCAUGUGCACACCUUGUCAUCUUUAUAUCUCCACCUGUGCACUUUUUGUAGACCUUUUCAGGUCUAUGUUGCUCCAUUUACCCCAAUGUAUGUUAAUAGAAUGUUGUGCCUAUAUAAUAUAUACAACUUUCAGCAACGGAUCUCUUGGCUCUCGCAUCGAUGAAGAACGCA